rnacentral:rRNA from 1 species
UACGGAGGGUGCUAGCGUUGUUCGGAAUUACUGGGCGUAAAGCGCGCGUAGGCGGCUUUGUAAGUUAGAGGUGAAAGCCCGGAGCUCAACUCCGGAAUUGCCUUUAAGACUGCAUCGCUAGAAUCAUGGAGAGGUAAGUGGAAUUCCGAGUGUAGAGGUGAAAUUCGUAGAUAUUCGGAAGAACACCAGUGGCGAAGGCGACUGACUGGACAUGUAUUGACGCUGAGGUGCGAAAGCGUGGGGAGCAAACAGG